UACAGGGGGGGCAAGCGUUGUUCGGAAUUACUGGGCGUAAAGGGUUCGUAGGCGGUGCGGCAAGUUGGGAGUGAAAUCUCUGGGCUUAACCCAGAGGCUGCUUCCAAAACUGCUGUGCUUGAGUGUGGGAGAGGCGCGUGGAAUUGCAGGUGUAGCGGUGAAAUGCGUAGAUAUCUGCAGGAACACCCGUGGCGAAAGCGGCGCGCUGGACCACUACUGACGCUGAGGAACGAAAGCUAGGGGAGCAAACAGG
rnacentral:rRNA from 1 species